rnacentral:rRNA from 1 species
GGGGGAAUAUUGCACAAUGGGCGAAAGCCUGAUGCAGCGACGCCGCGUGAGGGAAGAAGGCCUUGGGUUGUAAACCUCUGUCUUCGGUGACGAAAAUGACGGUAGCCGAGGAGGAAGCCACGGCUAACUACGUGCCAGCAGCCGCGGUAAUACGUAGGUGGCAAGCGUUGUCCGGAAUUACUGGGUGUAAAGGGAGCGUAGGCGGGAAUGCAAGUUUACUGUGAAAUCUACCGGCUCAACCGGUAUCAGC